rnacentral:tRNA from 1 species
GGCUUUNGUAGCUCAGUUGGUAGAGCAAAGGACUGAAAAUCCUUGUGUCGGCGGUUCGAUUCCGUCCAAAGCCACCA